AGCGAACGCUGGCGGCAGGCCUAACACAUGCAAGUCGAACGAACUCUUCGGAGUUAGUGGCGGACGGGUGAGUAACACGUGGGAACGUGCCUUUUGGUUCGGAAUAACUCAGGGAAACUUGUGCUAAUACCGAAUGUGCCCUUCGGGGGAAAGAUUUAUCGCCUUUAGAUCGGCCCGCGUCUGAUUAGCUAGUUGGUGGGGUAACGGCUCACCAAGGCGACGAUCAGUAGCUGGUCUGAGAGGAUGACCAGCCACACUGGGACUGAGACACGGCCCAGACUCCUACGGGAGGCAGCAGUGGGGAAUCUUGCGCAAUGGGCGAAAGCCUGACGCAGCCAUGCCGCGUGAAUGAUGAAGGUCUUAGGAUUGUAAAAUUCUUUCACCGGGGACGAUAAUGACGGUACCCGGAGAAGAAGCCCCGGCUAACUUCGUG
rnacentral:rRNA from 1 species